rnacentral:rRNA from 1 species
GUUAAGCGACUAAGCGUACACGGUGGAUGCCCUGGCAGUCAGAGGCGAUGAAGGACGUGCUAAUCUGCGAUAAGCGUCGGUAAGGUGAUAUGAACCGUUAUAACCGGCGAUUUCCGAAUGGGGAAACCCAGUGUGUUUCGACACACUAUCAUUAACUGAAUCCAUAGGUUAAUGAGGCGAACCGGGGGAACUGAAACAUCUAAGUACCCCGAGGAAAAGAAAUCAACCGAGAUUCCCCCAGUAGCGGCGAGCGAACGGGGAGCAGCCCAGAGCCUGAAUCAGUGUGUGUGUUAGUGGAAGCGUCUGGAAAGGCGCGCGAUACAGGGUGACAGCCCCGUACACAAAAAUGCACAUGCUGUGAGCUCGAUGAGUAGGGCGGGACACGUGGUAUCCUGUCUGAAUAUGGGGGGACCAUCCUCCAAGGCUAAAUACUCCUGACUGACCGAUAGUGAACCAGUACCGUGAGGGAAAGGCGAAAAGAACCCCGGCGAGGGGAGUGAAAAAGAACCUGAAACCGUGUACGUACAAGCAGUGGGAGCACGCUUAGGCGUGUGACUGCGUACCUUUUGUAUAAUGGGUCAGCGACUUAUAUUCUGUAGCAAGGUUAACCGAAUAGGGGAGCCGAAGGGAAACCGAGUCUUAACUGGGCGUUAAGUUGCAGGGUAUAGACCCGAAACCCGGUGAUCUAGCCAUGGGCAGGUUGAAGGUUGGGUAACACUAACUGGAGGACCGAACCGACUAAUGUUGAAAAAUUAGCGGAUGACUUGUGGCUGGGGGUGAAAGGCCAAUCAAACCGGGAGAUAGCUGGUUCUCCCCGAAAGCUAUUUAGGUAGCGCCUCGUGAAUUCAUCUCCGGGGGUAGAGCACUGUUUCGGCAAGGGGGUCAUCCCGACUUACCAACCCGAUGCAAACUGCGAAUACCGGAGAAUGUUAUCACGGGAGACACACGGCGGGUGCUAACGUCCGUCGUGAAGAGGGAAACAACCCAGACCGCCAGCUAAGGUCCCAAAGUCAUGGUUAAGUGGGAAACGAUGUGGGAAGGCCCAGACAGCCAGGAUGUUGGCUUAGAAGCAGCCAUCAUUUAAAGAAAGCGUAAUAGCUCACUGGUCGAGUCGGCCUGCGCGGAAGAUGUAACGGGGCUAAACCAUGCACCGAAGCUGCGGCAGCGACGCUGAUGCGUUGUUGGGUAGGGGAGCGUUCUGUAAGCCUGCGAAGGUGUGCUGUGAGGCAUGCUGGAGGUAUCAGAAGUGCGAAUGCUGACAUAAGUAACGAUAAAGCGGGUGAAAAGCCCGCUCGCCGGAAGACCAAGGGUUCCUGUCCAACGUUAAUCGGGGCAGGGUGAGUCGACCCCUAAGGCGAGGCCGAAAGGCGUAGUCGAUGGGAAACAGGUUAAUAUUCCUGUACUUGGUGUUACUGCGAAGGGGGGACGGAGAAGGCUAUGUUGGCCGGGCGACGGUUGUCCCGGUUUAAGCGUGUAGGCUGGUUUUCCAGGCAAAUCCGGAAAAUCAAGGCUGAGGCGUGAUGACGAGGCACUACGGUGCUGAAGCAACAAAUGCCCUGCUUCCAGGAAAAGCCUCUAAGCAUCAGGUAACAUCAAAUCGUACCCCAAACCGACACAGGUGGUCAGGUAGAGAAUACCAAGGCGCUUGAGAGAACUCGGGUGAAGGAACUAGGCAAAAUGGUGCCGUAACUUCGGGAGAAGGCACGCUGAUAUGUAGGUGAAGUCCCUUGCGGAUGGAGCUGAAAUCAGUCGAAGAUACCAGCUGGCUGCAACUGUUUAUUAAAAACACAGCACUGUGCAAACACGAAAGUGGACGUAUACGGUGUGACGCCUGCCCGGUGCCGGAAGGUUAAUUGAUGGGGUCAGCGCAAGCGAAGCUCUUGAUCGAAGCCCCGGUAAACGGCGGCCGUAACUAUAACGGUCCUAAGGUAGCGAAAUUCCUUGUCGGGUAAGUUCCGACCUGCACGAAUGGCGUAAUGAUGGCCAGGCUGUCUCCACCCGAGACUCAGUGAAAUUGAACUCGCUGUGAAGAUGCAGUGUACCCGCGGCAAGACGGAAAGACCCCGUGAACCUUUACUAUAGCUUGACACUGAACAUUGAGCCUUGAUGUGUAGGAUAGGUGGGAGGCUUUGAAGUGUGGACGCCAGUCUGCAUGGAGCCGACCUUGAAAUACCACCCUUUAAUGUUUGAUGUUCUAACGUUGACCCGUAAUCCGGGUUGCGGACAGUGUCUGGUGGGUAGUUUGACUGGGGCGGUCUCCUCCUAAAGAGUAACGGAGGAGCACGAAGGUUGGCUAAUCCUGGUCGGACAUCAGGAGGUUAGUGCAAUGGCAUAAGCCAGCUUGACUGCGAGCGUGACGGCGCGAGCAGGUGCGAAAGCAGGUCAUAGUGAUCCGGUGGUUCUGAAUGGAAGGGCCAUCGCUCAACGGAUAAAAGGUACUCCGGGGAUAACAGGCUGAUACCGCCCAAGAGUUCAUAUCGACGGCGGUGUUUGGCACCUCGAUGUCGGCUCAUCACAUCCUGGGGCUGAAGUAGGUCCCAAGGGUAUGGCUGUUCGCCAUUUAAAGUGGUACGCGAGCUGGGUUUAGAACGUCGUGAGACAGUUCGGUCCCUAUCUGCCGUGGGCGCUGGAGAACUGAGGGGGGCUGCUCCUAGUACGAGAGGACCGGAGUGGACGCAUCACUGGUGUUCGGGUUGUCAUGCCAAUGGCACUGCCCGGUAGCUAAAUGCGGAAGAGAUAAGUGCUGAAAGCAUCUAAGCACGAAACUUGCCCCGAGAUGAGUUCUCCCUGACUCCUUGAGAGUCCUGAAGGAACGUUGAAGACGACGACGUUGAUAGGCCGG